AAAUGCUCACAGUACACAGCUCACAUCUGUGUUAGAGGUUACUCUUGAAGCGUCAGAAAGAGAAGGAGGAAAAGACGGCUUCUGUUAUGUGACAGAAUUCUUGCGAUGAUGAAAGGAAGAGCCGUGUGCAAUGACAGAGCCAAUAGGAAUGCAGUGGAAAUAUCUUCUUAACUAGGAACACAGAGGAUUGUGGCAACAUGCUGGAGGACAACUACUUAGGGAAUAAAUAAGCUAAUGAAGAAUUUUGCAAAGAACUCAACAGUUCAUUUUUUUCAUCCUCUGGAUUUUUUUAAUAUAAAAAUGUCAGAGAUGCAUACACAUAACAGCUUCAGACUAAGCUAGAUAUUUUUAUCUGGAAAGAAGAACAUUUUGUGGGUAAUGAAAGUAGUAAUUACAAUUAGCUGAGAUGCUGACAUCCAAUGAGGUAGAAUUAUUUCAUUUUACAUCCUUAGCAAAAAUGUACUUACUUGAUUCUUAGUCACAAAAUGUGAGUGUCAUGCUGAGAACUUAGUGUGAGAUUAAAUAUUGGCCACACUUUUGGAUUAGGGAGUGGGUGGUAGGAACAAAUGAGGAAAGUCUGAGAUAUCUAGGAGCAGGGAAGAAGGGGAAAAGACUUGAUACCAAUACUGAGAGGAUCACAUUAUUCUUCUCUUCUUCUAUACACACUGUCUGCUCCUGUCUGUGGUGUAAUACCAGGGCCAAACCUCUGUUUUCCAGCCUUUCUUCCUACAUAGGAAGCUGAGUAGCAGACAUAGGAAAUGCAGAAUUGGAAGAAUGGGCUGGCAGCAGACAAUCCAUCAUUUUACCCCUUCUCCCACCCACAGUAUAUCCAUUUAGAUACAGCUUAGAACUAUAUGAUUUUGUUACUACAGCUUCUUCCAUUUCAGCCUUAGUUACCAUUCACUUGUAUCCAGGCUGCCUGCAGUUCUGCACAUACAGGUGAUUUAUAACCCCAGGGUCUGUAAAACCUCAGGCUUAUCAGCCCCUGGUAAACCAGAAGUGAGCAGGAAGGGAACUGGGUACCUGACCUUCCAUUUUCUGUCCCCACUCAGGAGACAAACGUAAAGCUCAGCUUGAGACGCUAUACUAUUUAAUUAGUUUGUCAGUGGGGUGGGGUUCUGAAUAUUGUGAUACAGAUUGAUACCUAGUAUUGACCUAGGAUAUAACCUGUGAAACAUUACUAAGUCAUAUUAAAACAUACAGUCUAUCCUAAGUGUUACUUCCUCUGUAGUGUAGCUUUGAGGAAUUAGCCAUGAAAUUUAAAUUUCAUUUUGUUUUAACAAAUAACUGGUCUUGAUUACAGGUUAUUACCUUUCAUAAAGACUUUCAAUAUAAUUAUCAUGGAAAUAAGAGGUAACUGCAAAUUUGAAAGCCACGUGCUACAAAUUCAUGUUCAUAAAAGUAGUUUUUUUAUGGACUGUCCUUCAAUGGCAAUAUUCACCUCAUUAAGAGACACAGCAUGAGUAUGGGAGCUGAAUACUGCUGUGAACAAUAUUGAGUAGAAUACUUAGUCUUAAAUACAAUGCAGAUGAUGCCUUGGUACAACACAAAUGAAUACUCUUUAGAAACACAUCACUGAGCUUGAAGACACCUUGAGUGAAUAACAGAAAAUGCAGCUGACAGAGGAUGGAAGGAGGGAGAAAUGCCUAAUUCUUGCCAUUAUUAAGGGAAAUGAUCUGCAGUCUCUUCUUUUGGCUGUAGCCUUUAAAUGUGUGAACCUGCUGGUACAAUUUUAUAUUCUGACCCACUUUCUCAUAGAUGUUUAGCCUAGAACUAGGUGCAACCAAUUUUAGAUUGUCUCACACGGCUUUCUUCAAUAGCUCCUAAUGGUUACCUAGCCAUAAUUUCUUGUGGUAGCUACUGUGAAUUCUUAUUUCAGGUGUCUAACUCUCCAUUCAACAGACAGAAGAUGCAGACACUUGGCAAUGGCUAAUUCCAGGACUACAGGGAUAUAGUAAAUUUUCAGCAUUGUAAUAUUGAGUGUUAAUAGUCUGAGAAUCCUCUUUAGAUCACUGAGAUUUGAAUGUCUUAUAUAACUUUAUGAUAUUAAAGUCUUAUUCUACUGUGGAUAUAAUUAAUAGUGAAAAUCCAUCUUUUUCAGUCCUGAAAAUCACAA